rnacentral:lncRNA from 1 species
UGAUAUCCCCUUCUUCCCAUUCCCCGGGAUACAGAUCAUCUGGAUUCAUGUUGAAAUCCUAGGAGAGGAAUUUUUAUUCCGGAAACAGGACAAUGAUCGCCUCGCGGCAACAAAAACCAAUUAAAAUAGAAAGCCCCCAUACGAUGCUGAUGAAUCCGACACGAUCGGGGUGCGACGAGAGAAAAGACACGCAAAGAGGAAGUAAGCAAGACGACCAUCUCCGAUCACCUCUGCGACCAAAGCGACAUGCUGCAGGUGCACUGGUUGCACUUGGUACACCAGGAGCUCUUGUAACAGUCGUUGGUGAGGGUGGGAACGCCAUAAUUUAUGAGGAACUUGCACACGCAGGAGCAGCCCUGAGCGGUGAUGCUGGCGGCGAUGGCUUUGCAGCAGGCUUCGUUGCCGACGCCGCCUCUGCACGGAUCCAACGGGCGACACGCAGACAAUUCCGCGCCAGCAGCUCUUCCUCGGCCUCCUCCAGCGUCGAUCAUGACAACGAGCAGCAACGGGAGGAGAAGGCAGAGUCUGAGAGCAGCAGAAUUCGCCAUGAGAGGCCGAUUUCGUGCCUGCAAACUGCAGCUUCUGGAGAUGACGAUGCAAUUAUUGGAGUGAAAAGUCUUCUAUCAGCCACGAAUAAACAAAGAGAAAAGUCAGGUUUCAUUGAUGGAAAUUAUAUGGAGCGAGACAAGUGACUAGUAAUCUGUACAUGAAUUCUUUAAACAGUUGGUGACAGCCUUGCGAGGGACUACGAACUAGAAUUUUAUGGUGGGACUUGCAUUAACAAUGGGAGGUUACGGUUAACUCGCAAUUAUUUUGUUUGGACUCGGUGACAUUCGGGUGAUACAGAGGGAGGAAAAGCCCAUACGAGCUUUGGUUUAAUUGUCUCUUCAGUUGGUUAGGUCAUAACAAGUCACCUUUUCACUCUUAUAUCAGAAACGUCUCCUUUCUGUUUGGGGAGGGAGGACGAGGAUAAGAAGGGAGUCCUUAAACUCUCUCUAAUGGGCUUGGGAAGGAGGAUGAGGAGGAGCUACAAAUUCUUUAACAGUCAAGAUCCUAAAUCUUUAAAAGUCUAACAGAUUUAGGGAGUAUUGUUUCAAACUCAAUUAAAUCUUCUUCUUCGUAUUUCAUUUUUAUCAUGGUAUCAUAGCAAUAAUCCUGCAGCUAUCAUUGCUACUGCCAGGAAGACCGAUAAUGAGGACCAAAUAGAUCCUCGGUCGUGAAGUGAUUCCGCGGCCGUGGGGGAAAUUCGCGGCAGAGAUCCACGACCCUUGGCACCGCGUCCGGGUGUGGCUCAGCACGUUCAACAUCGCCGAGGAGGCCACCAAGGUUGACUACUCUGCAGCCGUCCCGCCACCCAAGAAGAACCGCUCCAACAACAACCUCGCCUCCAUCUCGGACGCGUACGACUCCAGCGAUGAGUCACGCAACCUCUCCUCCCCGACGUUUGUCCUCUGCUGCUCCUUCUCUGCUGAUCUACCACUAGCCGGUGGACUUCAAGCCACCGCAGCCGCCCAUCUAAACUCCCCUUCCAGCCCUUCUUUCCCCUUCGUCAGCCCCCUCGAUCUCACCUGCGGC